rnacentral:rRNA from 1 species
GAUGAACGCUAGCGGCAGGCUUAAUACAUGCAAGUCGAGGGGCAGCAUGAGUAGCAAUACUUGAUGGCGACCGGCGAACGGGUGCGGAACACGUACAGAACCUUCCUUCGAGCGGGGAAUAGCCCGGAGAAAUCCGGAUUAAUACCGCAUGUGGUCGGGACUCUCCUGAGUCCCAAACUAAAGUCAGGGACCGCAAGGCCUGACGUUUGAAGAGGAGUUCGCGGCCUAUCAGCUAGUUGGCGAGGUAACGGCUCACCAAGGCUAAGACGGGUAGCUGGUCUGAGAGGAUGAUCAGCCACACUGGAACUGAGAC